GUCUGCUGGACGAAGGAAGAACAUUAAUGUUUACUGCAACGAAUACAACAAGUCUUAAGUCCUAGCCGGAGGUGUACCACACGGUUCUAUCAUGGAACCUGUUGUGUUUACUGUUACGUCAACUGAUGAGUCAAAGUCUAAUGGGAUUAAAAUCAUCUAAACCAGAGUCAGCUGUGAGACCUGGACUCCACCUGCUGCGUGUGAAAACUAUCUGACAGUGAUGCUCCUCCCUCCCGCCUCCAAACAGGAACUCCCACUUGGCUCGGGCGAUUCUCUGCGACCGCGCAGACGGAGUCGAUGCUGAGCCACUGUCCGACUGCAGGAGGAAAGAAAAACACUGUGACAACAUUCGUUUCUACUUCUGAAGGAACAGAAAUUAAAGCCGGGGGAAGCGGAGAGAAUUUCUUCAUGCAUUUUGAUAUUUUAUCACAUGAAAACACUAUUUCCGCUGCUUUGUGUAGUAAGAUACUCGUGACACUGUGUUUUUGUGAUGUACUAACAAGCUCUGACUUGUUGAAAACAGUUGUUAGAUCUCAGAAAGAAAGAGUCUUCUGCCCAAAGCUAAGACUCUGGGCCCUGCAGCUGUUUAUGUGUUACUGAGCAGCACAACAGUAGAAACUCAUCUGAGAUGAACUGGGACUGGUGAAACAGAAACUAACUGACUGUAAUUUUUUGUUAUAUAGUUAUUGUUAUCAAGGUCAACUGGACAGUAGGUCAUGAAAGGAGAUUUUAUUGUUCAUCUCUGCAGACAGACGACCUCACGCCACAGAUAAUCUACACAAUUACAUCCUCUCACACACACACAGGGUCUGGCUGUGUCUACAUACAACCGAGCCCUCAUCAUCAUCAUCCUCGUGUCCGGCCGACCUGUAUCCCAGAGCCAGUGUCGGUCGUAUCGUGGCUGGACUGGCUGGACGUUUCAGGGAAGAGACCGUCAUUUCUGUCCAGCUGGGAACUUUCUCCCAUGCUGCCCGUCACACCGCUGGAGCUCUGAGAGGACGACCCAGUGGCCCCGCUGUGAUCCUGAACCUCCUCUCUCUGAUCCAUAGAUACGCCUACAACUGACCUCUGGUUCCCCUGCACUGACGUCUUAACUCCUUCGUCUUCUCUGUCCUUCCUGUGAGUCUCCCCUUUGCUUUGAGUGUAAAUUAUACAGGUUGCCUCUCUACAGUCUUCAUCAUAGAGUUUGUCCCGGUCCUGGAAUGGUCCAGUCUCCCUCCACUCCUGGUCCCCGGAGGUCCAACUCAAGGGCAAUGCUUCUGUGUUUUGGUUGGAGAGAAGUCUCCAGUGGAGUUCAGGGCUAGCCCCAGUUUUAUCAAAAAGAUUAUCAUACUGACUUUGCUCCAUGCCAGGUGGUUUACAGUCUCCGGUGUACUGUGGUGGCCGGUAGCGAUGCAGGG